AAAGGAUGAUCUGCUUGAAAUAAUAUGCUGGAGGCAGCAUGUUGUUGGUGUUGACUACUGUCAUUUUUCUUUUUGAGUUGUUUUUCCAAUCCAUUCUUCAUGUCCAAUUGUCUGAUGACUCUGUUUACUAUUGUUCCGAGUCUUAGUCGAAGUAGCUUAGAAGUAGUCUAGAUUUAUAGCAUGUUUACCCAUUACCUGGGAGGCCUCCUAAUCCUUGGGCAUGUAUAAUCAAUUGGCUGCUCGUGCUAAUAUUAUGACCCUCUGUCAUAUCGAGCCAUUCUAUAAGACUGGCACAACAAAUAUUGUUAUGCACUUUGUUUUUU
rnacentral:lncRNA from 1 species